rnacentral:rRNA from 1 species
CACGUAGGGCGCAAGCGUUGUCCGGAUUUAUUGGGCGUAAAGAGCGUGUAGGCGGUCUGUUGCGUCCGCUGUGAAAACUCGGGGCUUAACCCCGAGCCUGCAGUGGAUACGGGCAGACUAGAGGUAGGUAGGGGAGAAUGGAAUUCCCGGUGUAGCGGUGAAAUGCGCAGAUAUCGGGAGGAACACCGGUGGCGAAGGCGGUUCUCUGGGCCUUACCUGACGCUGAGGAGCGAAAGCGUGGGGAGCGAACAGG